rnacentral:rRNA from 1 species
UACGAAGGGGGCUAGCGUUGUUCGGAAUUACUGGGCGUAAAGCGUGCGCAGGCGGUUAUGUAAGACAGAUGUGAAAUGCCCGGGCUUAACCUGGGAACUGCAUUUGUGACUGCAUGGCUAGAGUUUGGCAGAGGGGGGUAGAAUUCCACGUGUAGCAGUGAAAUGCGUAGAUAUGUGGAGGAACACCGAUGGCGAAGGCAGCCCCCUGGGUCAAGACUGACGCUCAUGCACGAAAGCGUGGGGAGCAAACAGG